CUGGCUCAGGAUGAACGCUAGCGGCAGGCUUAACACAUGCAAGUCGAGGGGCAGCGCGUUGUAGCAAUACAAUGGCGGCGACCGGCGCAAGGGUGCGUAACGCGUGAGCAAUCUGCCCGUAUCAGGGGGGAUAAGCGAUGGAAACGUCGUCUAAUACCGCAUAACACCAUUGAUGGCAUCAUCGAUGGUUGAAAGCUUCGGUGGAUACGGAUGAGCUCGCGAGACAUUAGUUAGUGGCGGGUAACGCCCACCAAGACCGCGAUGUCUAGGGGAACUGAGAGGUUGGUCCCCCACACUGGAACUGAGACACGGUCCAGACUCCUACGGGAGGCAGCAGUGAGGAAUAUUGGACAAUGGCCGGAAGGCUGAUCCAGCCAUGCCGCGUGAAAAGGAUAAGGUCCUAUGGAUUGUAAACUUCUUUUGAGAGGGAGCAAUAAGGAUGUCGGGACAUCCGAUGAGAGUACCUUUCGAAUAAGCAUCGGCUAACUCCGUGCCAGCCGCCGC
rnacentral:rRNA from 1 species